rnacentral:rRNA from 1 species
UGAGGAAUAUUGGUCAAUGGGCGCGAGCCUGAACCAGCCAAGUCGCGUGAGGGAUGACGGUCCUACGGAUUGUAAACCUCUUUAGGCGGGGAGUAAUGUGCUCUACGCGUAGAGUAGUGAGAGUACCCGCAGAAUAAGGACCGGCUAAUUCCGUGCCAGCCGCCGCGGUAAUACGGAAGGUUCGGGCGUUAUCCGGAUUUAUUGGGUUUAAAGGGAGCGUAGGCCGUUUGGUAAGCGUGUUGUGAAAUGUAGGGGCUCAACUUCUAGAUUGCAGCGCGAACUGUCAGACUUGAGUGCGCGCAACGUAGGCGCAGUUCAUGGUGUAGCGGUGAAAUGCUUAGAAAUCAUGAAGAACUCCGAUUGCGAAGGAAGUUUACGGGAGCGAAACUGACGCUGAAGCUCGAAGGUGCGGGUAUCGAACAGG